rnacentral:lncRNA from 1 species
UUAAUUGUCACCCUUUGCAGUGCUUUGUGCCGUCUCUUCCAUAGCAAAGUAAAAGCUCAGAAUGUUGAUCUAAAUCCCAUCAAACUCAACUUCACCUUCAUUUCUCCUUUUCCGUUCCCCCAUUUCAAAUGGCUUCUCAAAUCUCAAUUUCAGAUCAAUCUCUCCUCCUUGGACACAAACUCAACACACUCAUCACAUGCACCAUCAUUAACUGUCCAUCGAGUUUCUCACAAGACGAAACUUUUGAUGCCGCAAGCGAAAUGAGGAGGAGGCAAUUCGUUGUUGCUGGAUCUACGAAUGACGGUAACAAUGGAGGCAUUGAGAUACAUAAGAUGGAUGUAUUUCAAUGAUGUAUCUGAAUGAAAAUAUGAAAAAAAAAAUUAUGUAUCAAAUAUUUUUUUGCAUUACUGACACAUAAGAUUUAUGUAUUGAAAUGAGAUAUCUAUUACUGAUACAUAUGAAUUAUGCAUCGGAUUGAGUGUCUCUUGAAAAUAUAUCAAAAAUUAUGAUACAUAAUUUUUUCCGUGUUAACAUAUAUAAGACUCCAAAAUGAGAUAUGUGUUACUUAUACAUAAGAAUUAUAUAUCGGUUGCAGUGACUUUUUUGGUGGACUUGUCUCUAAAUUUGGGUGGAAGGAGGUGUUUCACCGGUUGACUGAUUAAAAUGAUGGUGGUGGUAACGGUUAUGUGUUUUCUAAUCGAGAAGAGGAAUUUUAAUUUUGAAUAUGGGAUUCAGCCGGAACAGUGGUCAGCGGUUGAGGAUUUAACGGGUUAAAGCUCGUGAUAGUUUUGGAUCUGUUGUGGUUGCUUCAACAAUGCAAGUUCGCCG